AAGUCGUAACAAGGUUUCCGUAGGUGAACCUGCGGAAGGAUCAUUAAAAGUAAUAUGUAUUCUCUCGAAUAUACAUUAUAAACCCAUCUGUGUAUCUUACCCGUUGCUUCCGCGAGGCAGUGAUCUCGGUCACCUCCGAACGACGGCGAAAGCUGUCCGACGGGGAGCACUCGCGGGAGGUAUACAUCAAACUCUUGCAUUUUUAUGUCAUCUGUCUGAACUGUUUAUAACAAAUGUUAAAACUUUCAACAACGGAUCUCUUGGUUCUC
rnacentral:misc_RNA from 1 species